UGAAACCUCCCGUAGAGCAGAAGGGCAAAAGCUCACUUGAUCGUGAUUUUCAGUAUGAAUACAGACCAUGAAAGCAGGGCCUCACAAUCCUUCUGAUUUUUUUAGAUUUCAAGCAGGAUGUGUCAGAAAAGUUCCCACAGGGAUAACUGGCUUGUAGCAGCCAAGUGUUCACAGC